rnacentral:rRNA from 1 species
UACGAAGGGUGCAAGCGUUACUCGGAAUUACUGGGCGUAAAGCGUGCGUAGGUGGUUUGUUAAGUCUGAUGUGAAAGCCCUGGGCUCAACCUGGGAAUUGCAUUGGAUACUGGCAGGCUAGAGUGCGGUAGAGGAUGGCGGAAUUCCCGGUGUAGCAGUGAAAUGCGUAGAGAUCGGGAGGAACAUCAGUGGCGAAGGCGGCCAUCUGGAUCAACACUGACGCUGAGGCACGAAAGCGUGGGGAGCAAACAGG